rnacentral:misc_RNA from 1 species
GACACUUUGUGGGCAGGACAUCCGGGCUCGCAACGCACUUUAGCAUUAUUGAAGCAGGGCUAUUAUUGGCCUCAGCUAGAAAAAGAUGUAAGGAAAUAUACGAAGACUUGCUUGGUGUACCAGCAAGAUAAAGUAGGUCAGGAAAAACCUGCAGGAUUACUUCAACCAUUACCAUUUCCGAGCCGACCCUGGGAGAGUGUUUCCCUAGAUUUCAUAGCAGGUUUGCCACGAGUGGGGGA